rnacentral:rRNA from 1 species
UACGUAGGGUGCAAGCGUUAAUCGGAAUUACUGGGCGUAAAGCGUGCGCAGGCGGUUUUGUAAGUCUGUCGUGAAAUCCCCGGGCUCAACCUGGGAAUUGCGAUGGAGACUGCAAGGCUAGAAUCUGGCAGAGGGGGGUAGAAUUCCACGUGUAGCAGUGAAAUGCGUAGAGAUCGGCAGGAACACCCAGGGGGGAAACCAGUGGACUGGGCAUGUGCUGACGCUCAGGUGCGAAAGCGUGGGGAGCGAACCGG